CGAUUACUCCUACCCAAGGCACAUCAUUUGCGCAAUCGCAAAAAGUCCAACCCCCAAAAUCUUCCCAACCGGAGGCGACCCAAGGAAGAGAGAAGCCGCCGCAGCCGAAGUCAUGUCGGGGGGAGUCGCUCGCGGCCGCCUCGCCCAGGAGCGCAAGGACUGGCGCAAGACCCACCCGCAUGGUUUCGCCGCGAAGCCGGAGACGCUGCCCGACGGGACGCGAAACCUGAUAAUAUGGCACUGCACCAUCCCCGGGAAGCAAGGGGUAAGCGAAACCCUAGGCCUCACAUUAAGCGCUAGAUUGGGAUAGUUUUUGGUCAGAUCCCUCGCCUGGUGAACAUCUAAGAUUUGUGCAUUAUGUUUAUUUAUGUAGCCUAGCAUCCGGUCUCUACUGUGGCAUACUGGCAUCCAGUUCCAUUAUGUGUGGCUUGGGUUUCAGAUUUUGAUUUUCAGUUCCAUAAUAAUGAAUUUUCGCUUCAUACACAACCAAGGAGGAAGGUUGUAUAUACAGAGUGUCAUAAGUCAGGUACUAUAGCCACUGGAGGAAGGUUGUAUAUACAGAGUGUCACAGGCCAGGAUCUCUACGAGUUAGUUGCAGUAGCUUUGUGCAAUUUGCAUUGACGGGGUUCGAUAAAAGGCCUGUUUGAAGUGACUGAACCUGUCAGAAUCACCGUUGUUAGAAUAAUGGGCUGAAUUUCGAUGCAGCUAAUAACUGCGUUCAGUCAGCUUUGUGAGGAUGGAGGACCUAUUUUUCAAGCAAGGCUUUUACCAAGAUGACAUUUACAGCAACCGCGGUGACAUUAACACUUGUAUUCACAGAAGGAGUCGAAGCAGGACAUGGUCAACCUGGUGAACAUACUUUUGAGAUCUUUUGGUUCAAAGUGAACUGUACAACACUACUUUUGGUUGAAACAUAGCCGACGCUAACUUUUGAUCUAGUGGCUGUAUCUAUGGACUUGUAUACAAGACUAACCAGACUUAAUUAUAUGCUCUGGUGUCUAUUUGGUAUCUUUGGACUUUAUGCUUACUACGUCAUGCAAAUGGUGCAAGGACGUUUGCUGUAAUGAUAUUUGGAUCAUAUAUGAUAUAUGUGCAUGGAUAUGCGUGAUUGAGUGAUA